GCUUACAGUCAUAUCCCCCCACAUAUACUCAUUCACCUCUGAUCUCUGAAGCUAAACAGGGACAAGCCUGGUUAGUACUUAGACGGGAAAAUGGAAAACACGAGGGUAGAACUGGACUCUUAAGGCU
rnacentral:rRNA from 1 species